rnacentral:rRNA from 1 species
AAACGAUGGCUAAUACCGCAUAAUCUCCUGUCUUUUACGAGNUGGGAGCAAAGAGGGGGACCUUCGGGCCUCUCGCGCUAAGAUUGGCCCAGGUGGGAUAGCUAGUAGGUGGGGUAACGGCUCACCUAGGCGACGAUCCCUAGCUGGUCUGAGAGGAUGAUCAGCCACACUGGAACUGAGACACGGUCCAGACUCCUACGGGAGGCAGCAGUGGGGAAUAUUGCACAAUGGGGGAAACCCUGAUGCAGCCAUGCCGCGUGUGUGAAGAAGGCCUUCGGGUUGUAAAGCACUUUCAGUCGUGAGGAAGGCGGUAUCGUUAACAGCGGUACCGUUUGACGUUAGCGACAGAAGAAGCACCGGCUAACUCCGUGCCAGCAGCCGCGGUAAUACGGAGGGUGCGAGCGUUAAUCGGAAUUACUGGGCGUAAGCGCAUGCAGGCGGCUUGUUAAGCCAGAUGUGAAAGCCCGGGGCUCAACCUCGGAAUCGCAUUUG